GAAAAGGGGAGGGGGAUAAAGGAUGUGUUUCCCUUAAGACCAAGUAAGGACAGAAUGCUCGGAGAGCUCGAACCUGUUGACCUGGUGGAAGGGGGGUACCCUAGAAUUGCCGAGCCACAGCUUGGAGGCUGUGGAAAGGGCAGUGGCAUCCUGGUGGUAGCACUAAUUCCACAGAGUAAACGACAUAGAAGCCAGCUGGCCUGGGUCUUGGAGGGCCCAGUAUUCAGGGCGCUUGACUCCUUGUGCAUCCAACCUGACCGGGACUCAUCCCAGAUCAGCAAUGUGGGCCCUGCACUAGCAACCUGCUCUGCAUCUACCUGAGGUGGAGGUGAAGGGUUCCUAGCAUGCUCCUGCUCCGCAUAAAUGAGCCACAGCCUGGGCAGCCUGCGUGCUCUACAAACAUGCAUGACCAGCCAUGUUCUCCAAUAAAGACUGAUGACAAAUAGAUCCGUGAGACCAGGAGCAGAUGGAAAGUUCAGCAGACAGAAGUAGGGUGCGGCGUGAGGUGUCACCUUUACAACUGACAAGAAGCAGCAUCCCUUGGGAUGGGCUGGCGUGAGUCUAGAGAGACUCCAUCAGCCACAUACAAUUGUGCAGUAUGCUGAGUCUUAAGAAGAAAUAGAAGUGUUCAUAUCAUGCUCAAUAAGGUCUCUUUUGAUAUACACAUAACAUAGAAUAUUGACUAUUGUCCCACUGGUGAAGAGAAUUGACGGAACAAUGGCUCCAGCAGUGGGGUACAGUACACACCCAUGUUACCAGGACGGAGAAGCAGCCCCUGUGCUCCGAACUGUCCCAUUCCUCGGAGCUACCUACCUGUGGUGAACUAUAACCUGAUGUAUUCUGUCACUGGUCUGAGUAACGUCUAACCCCCUCUGUGUUUUUAAAGAAGAAGGUUCUUGAGGUUAGAAAUGAAGAAACUGAGGCUCUAGGGUAAAUUGCUUGUCCAAGUUCACAUGUCUCACAUGAAGCUGAGUUACAUAUCAAGAUCUGCUCACGAUAGUCCUGCCUCCCCUAAAAUACUACACUGCUGUGGUAAACAUCAGGGGCUCAGAACUCAAGUCUACUCCCUGAAGAUAUCUUUGUCAACCUGCCCUGCUGCUUCUGGCCUGAGGGAAACACAUAAAGAAGUCUCAUCUCAAGGUGCUUGGACCAGCCCGGACCUGGAAUGGAGACUGGCCGCACAAGCUCCUCAGGGAAGAGCAGGCCUGAUUUUUUCCACAUGCCAUUCCCACUCAAGACCCUCAGACAGUUUGGAAACUCACUCCUGAGCACACGAAGGGACAGUGUUUGGGGAGUGUGCUGCCUGGACACUUAUGCGGGAGACUGGAGCAGCCACAUUUAGGCUCUUUUCCUCCCAAGAGCUGUGUCUGGAGCUGAGCUCCCCAUUCCUGGUGCAUUGACAACUUUUGACUUGCACUCUGGCCUGGGCAAUGACUCUCAGUUCUGCAGAGGGUGGCUCAUUGGCAUUGCCCAACUGCCCAAUGACUUCAGAGAAAUACUGUGGGUCUUGAGUUUUAUUAUCUAUAAUACACAGGCCCUCUAUCAUGCUGAGCCAGAACCAGAGGUUCUUCUUGUUCUGGGCCUAAGGGCCAAAAUGAAAACAUUGCAUCAUUUUCAGAUCUGUAGAAACCUCUUACCAGCCAAGAGGGAUGUAAGCAUGGUGCAUUCCUACACAGGCCUUGGUUCUGUCUGUUCUGGACAUACAGCCAGUCUUAUCCCAGAAGUCCCUUUCUUUCUGUAGAAGAAGAAUGAAAUAACUAGGCUUAAAAAGCUCUAGAACGUAUCUUGGAGUACAGGACAUCUACUGGGAAAAAAUUCGACUCUAGGCAGCUGAUUACUGCCUAGAGUCACCUCUAGGGUGUCAGCUGUGUGGUAAAUACAGCCUAUAGGGGGACCAAGUUGGUAACAGGCCCUGGAAAUAAAGAUUCCUUUCUGGGAGGGAUUCAUGCUCACUGAUAGUUUUUGUUGAUUGUUGCCUGUUCAACAUACAAAACAAGGAAAACCUGACAGAAACAUCAUCUUCAAUUGCAUAUCUCAUGAAUUCAUGCAAGAUCGUGCUGUGGAAAUAGAUAGGAUAGUAGAGGAACCAGCUGAGGACCCAACAUAAACUAAAAC